rnacentral:rRNA from 1 species
CUUCGUAUUAAAUAGAGGGUGAGGUAAUGGAUCACCAAGGUUAGGAAGGGUAGGGGCUAUUAUUGGAAGGUCCCCCACACUGGCACUGAGAUACGGCCCAGAGUCAUACGGGGGCAGCAGUAGGGAAUAUUGGUCAAUCGGUGCAAGCUUGAACCAGCCAUGCCGCGUGCAGGAUGAAGCCUCUCUGAGUUGUAAAGAGGUUUUUUACAGGAGCAAAAAAAUCCCUGCGGGGGUUCUUGAGAGUACUGUAAGAAUAAGCACCGGCUAAUUCCGUGCCAGCAGCCGCGGUAAUACGGGAGGUGCAAGCGUUAUCCGGUUUUAUUGGGUUUAAAGGGUGCGUAGGCGGCUUAUUAAGUCAGUUGUGAAAUCCUAGUGCUUAACGCUAGAACUGCGAUUGAUACUAUU